rnacentral:rRNA from 1 species
UCCCUACGGGGGGCUGCAGUGGGGAAUCUUGCGCAAUGGGCGAAAGCCUGACGCAGCCAUGCCGCGUGAAUGAUGAAGGUCUUAGGAUUGUAAAAUUCUUUCACCGGGGACGAUAAUGACGGUACCCGGAGAAGAAGCCCCGGCUAACUUCGUGCCAGCAGCCGCGGUAAUACGAAGGGGGCUAGCGUUGCUCGGAAUUACUGGGCGUAAAGGGCGCGUAGGCGGAUCGUUAAGUCAGAGGUGAAAUCCCGGAGCUCAACUUCGGAACUGCCUUUGAUACUGGCGAUCUUGAGUGUGAGAGAGGUAUGUGGAACUCCGAGUGUAGAGGUGAAAUUCGUAGAUAUUCGGAAGAACACCAGUGGCGAAGGCGACAUACUGGCUCAUUACUGACGCUGAGGCGCGAAAGCGUGGGGAGCAAACAGGAUUAGAUACCCUGGUAGUCACC